UCUCCGCUUGCGCGGGCAGUUCUCCUAGAGUCCCCAUCAUUACAUGCUGGCAACUAAGAGUAGGGGUUGCGCUCGUUACGGGACUUAACCCAACACCUCACAGCACGAGCUGACGACAACCAUGCAGCACCUUGCAAAGCGCCCGAAGGAGGACUGGUUUCCCAGCCUGUCGCUAAGCAUUUAAGCCCAGGUAAGGUUCCUCGCGUAUCAUCGAAUUAAACCACAUGCUCCACCGCUUGUGCGGGCCCCCGUCAAUUCCUUUGAGUUUCAACCUUGCGAUCGUACUCCCCAGGUGGAUUACUUAUUACUUUCACUUAGACACUGACAGUGUAUCGCCAGCAUCGAGUAAUCAUCGUUUACAGCGUGGACUAC
rnacentral:misc_RNA from 1 species